AGGUCGAUUAUGAGAACCUUAUAUUGUCCUGAAGAGAGGUGAUGACUUAAAAAUCAUGCCCAAUAGGAUUACGCUGAGGCCC
ensembl:snoRNA SNORD115-25 small nucleolar RNA, C/D box 115-25